GAACGGUAACAUUGGAGCUUGCUCCAGAUGACGAGUGGCGGACGGGUGAGUAACGCGUAGGAAUCUGCCUAGUAGUGGGGGACAACAUGUGGAAACGCAUGCUAAUACCGCAUACGCCCUACGGGGGAAAGCGGGGGAUCUUCGGACCACGCGCUAUUAGAUGAGCCUGCGUUAGAUUAGCUUGUUGGUGGGGUAAUGGCCUACCAGGGCGACGAUCUAUAGCUGGUCUGAGAGGACGAUCAGCCACACUGGGACUGAGACACGGCCCAGACUCCUACGGGAGGCAGCAGUGGGGAAUAUUGGACAAUGGGCGCAAGCCUGAUCCAGCAAUACCACGUGUGUGAAGAAGGCCUGAGGGUUGUAAAGCACUUUCAAUUGGGAGGAAAACAGCUGGGUUAAUAGCCCUGCUCUUGACAUUACCUUCAGAAGAAGCACCGGCUAACUCCGUGCCAGCAGCCGCGGUAAUACGGAGGGUGCGAGCGUUAAUCGGAAUUACUGGGCGUAAAGCGUACGUAGGCGGUUAUUUAAGUCAGAUGUGAAAGCCCCGGGCUCAACCUGGGAACUGCAUUUGAAACUGGAUAACUAGAGUUUGAUAGAGGAGAGUAGAAUUUCU
rnacentral:rRNA from 1 species